rfam:TPA: Bos taurus chromosome 21, whole genome shotgun sequence.
UCCCUAGUGGCUCAUAUGGUAAAGAAUCUGCCUGCAAUGCAGGAGGCCUGGGUUUGAUCCCUGGGUGGGGAA